GUUUUAAUAGUUUAAAAAAAACGUUAGUCUUGUAAACUAAAAAUAAAAGUUACUUUUUUAAAACU
rnacentral:tRNA from 1 species